UUGGUUCACCUCCACUCAGGCAAAUUCUUAUUAUAAUUUUCAUAAGAUGCGUCUUAUGAACCGCUUUUUAGAGUGUAAUAUUGUGUUUCAUAAGAGUCUUAUGAAAUUCCUUCAGUUUUUAUAUGAACAUCUUAUGAAAAAUAGAAGAAAGGGCAUUGUGAAAAUAUAAUGAACACAUUCAUUCAUUCUGUCAAGUUUUUCAUCGUCUAGCGGUACGAAGCUUUCGAUUGUUAGUUAUAAGUUUUCCUUAACAGUUGAAUGUCAUUGUGAUCUUUCUGAUUGUAUGCUGACCGGCUAAAAACGGAAGGUCGAAGAAUCGGAUGCGGCGAAAAAAAUCUUUGUUGGAGCCGAGGUGUUGAUGUGCUGCUGAUGACACUUUGAAUGAUUUUAUUUGAAACAAAUUCGGAAAACAAUAAAGUGAAUCUUUUCAACGUAAAA